GGACGUUGUCUAGGCUAUGGGCUCUCAGAGCAUCUCCAACUCAACGUGGAGGAAUCUGGUGCCGCCGAGAAUGGGGUGACAAUGGGAUCGCACACACGCAGAGGCAGAUGCCUGGACUGUGCGUGCUGAUUCCUGCUGGGCCCCUGGCUGAUUCUGCUACGCAACCAAUGUGGCCCGCGUACCCACUCCCACUCGAGACCCUGAAGGACUGUGUGGAUGGAAAAGCUCAAACUCCGAGUCCAGAUCCUAACAGCUAAUGCUAUUGAGUACUUCCAUAUGCUGAUUACUGUGCAAGUUGCCUUCCACAUUAUUCCAUGGAAUCUUCACAAAAUCUCUAGAGGGGAACUAAAACGUGACUAUUGGAAUUACAGGAGUGGAGGAAAAUCGAGGAGAUGUUUUGAAAGCCAAGGGCGAAUCUAGCAGACAUGUAGCAAAUUGACCUCUGUAACAAUCAAGGAGACAACAGAAGGAAAGUAAGCACUAACUGGGCUCCAGUUCUGUCUCAAGCGCUCUGCUGGACUAGGUUGCCAUGGUUGGUAAAUAAAACAGUCUUUGGGACCCUGAUUCCAAAUAAUGAAAAGUAUCUCAUAGCAGAUUAAAUACUCAAGGUCUGGAAAUUUUUAAAUAGCAUUAUUUAAAGCCAGAACAUAAACUGGAGUAACAAAUUCAAUGCUAGUCAGCUCAGCAUCAUUUGUGGGGAAAUACCAGGAACGGUUGUGAAGGGAACAACUUGAUAAACAUUAAGGUAAUUUGAUUAGAAACAUGCAAUAUAUGCUUCUGAUGGGAGAAAAUAUUCUAACAGCUCACUGGUUGGCUUCCUUUGAAAUCAUUUACUGCCAUGGUUUCUGAGUUUAGACCAACAUCCCUCCUGUUAACGAUAAUGGAUUAGGAGCACUAACCAUAUGAUAGCUAAUAGCUUAAGACUUUUUUUCAAGUGUGGAGGUAGAACAAAGCAUAAAAAUGAUGGAAAUAUAAUGUUGAAGGUGAAAGAGACAGUAAGGAGGGAUAUAUAGCUUAAAUCUGAGAACCCCCCAGGUAAAAUGUGUAUUUUUAAAUUUCCACAGAGUUUGCAUUUGGAAUAUAUACAGGUAUCUGCAUCUUUUCAAGAACACUGUAUGGAAAACAAAACUUAUUGCAAAAUUUUUUUUUCAUCGGUUGAUAAUAUGAAGCAAUAUUAGGCAAAUGGAUACAUUCUAGUAGGACUGCAGUUAUAUUUGUGAUGUCUAUCUGGGAAUUUAAAAAUGAUGAUGCUCAAGGAAAGAAUGCACUCAAACUGUGAGUGCAUAAAUACACUAGGAAUCAUUAAAUGAAGAUGGUUAAGUAGAGUUGUGUAGGACUCGAACUCUGGGGAUGAACUUUCCUCAGUGCCUUUGAUAGCUCAUGGCACAUUCAUCCCCUCGGAAUUUCUCUUGACUCUGAUCAAGGGCUCUGGUUGGCAAUGCUCUGCCUACAAGUCGAAUGCUAAAGGGUGGCUGAGCAUGACUUCUCUCCAGCCUGAGAGCCAAAUGGGACACAAGGAUGUCCAGCUCUCUCUCCAGGAACUCUCUAAAGGCUCUGAGGAGCAGGUGGGAGGGGCACGACCAGCCAUCCUAGGUCAGCUCCACAUCAGAUUCACUUCACUGUGGAUGUGGAAUCACCCUCUCUCACAUUGGUUCAACCACCACCACUCCCAACUCCCGGAGCCUCACACACUGUCCUUGGAUGCCCACAUUCCAUCCCACCCCAAGGCAGCCAACUCACAUCAGUGUUUUGCUUCAUUUCCAAGGGCGAAUGCCUGCCUUCCUCUAGCAGUAACCUGUUAUGUGAUCCUGAGCAAACUGUAUCAUUUAUCACUGUCUUGUGGCAACCACAGCCAUCUCCGAGUACUCUAGUUCCAUGAAGUGCCAUCCUUCAACCCACCUACAAAAGUAUCAUUCCCUCCAUCCUCUCAGGGACCUUUCUAAAACAUCUACCAGGUGAGAAUUGUAACAUUCCCACUUGACCAGGUUACCUGGGGGAUGAAUUAAGCUAAUUCAUGCCGAAAGCUGUGGAAAUAGUUGAAAUUACUGCACAACCUCAAAAGAAGACGUGUUUUAACUCUGCCAUUUUCUAUGGGAUCAGCUGGGUUUUUUUUUUAAACUUCCUAGAGGAGAAAUUUAAGCGAUAUUGUUAUAAACAAUCUCUAAACAUUUAACGUUGUUACAAAAGACAACUUGAUACGUGAAGCCUCCUAUUUGUUCACUCUUCACUACAAAGCUAGGAACUAAAUGCUGAAAUGAGGAUUAAUGAUAUGAAGACAUUUGAUUCUUAAAUCUUUGAUAGCUCAUGCUAUGUUUUAUUAAUCUCUGUCUCCCUAGGAUCUAGCCAAGUGCUGAUCCCACAAUAGAAGCUUCAUAGGUAAUUCUUGGAUUAAUUAAGGAAUAUUCUCCAGGCCACACAGCUCAUCAAAAUAAUACAGACCGUCAGCUUCUUAUUUUUCUAUGAAGAAAAAAAGCACACAGUGAAUUCCCUCCAUGUAAAUGUUUGUGAGAUGCUAAGCAUCUUCCUGAAGAACUAUGGGACUUACCUCCUAUUGCCUAUUUCUUUUUUUUUAAGUUUAUUAAUUUAUUUUGAGAGAGAGAGAGUGAGCAGGGGAGGGCAGAGAGAAAGGGAGAGAGAGAGAGAGAGAGAAUCCCAAGCAGGCUCUCACUGUCAGCACAGAGCCCAAUGUUGAGCUCAAACCCACGAAGUGUGAGAUCAUGACCUGAGCCGAAACCAAGAGCCCGGCGCUUAACUGACUGAGCCACCCAGGAGCCCCGGCGUCACUGUUUCUAGUGACAAGGACCAUUCCCCACUUCCCUCAAAUACACAUGAAUGCCUUUUAUUUCUCUUCUGAUGGUUAGGGCAUUUUCUGUCAUGGAGAUGGGCAGAAUGGGGGCACCCAUGCCAACUUCAUGAACAGGCCUAAUGCAAUGUCUGGGUGGCAUACCAGUUUGUAUUAGUGAAACUAAAAGGAAAAAGGCUUGGAAGUUAAUUCGAUAAAGAAAGCUCCUUAUCCAGAUGCUGAAAUGACUGAGAAGCCAUGUGGCGUUUCACCGUUCCCAGGAAGAAUCUUCAAUUUGGUCAGA